rnacentral:rRNA from 1 species
UACGUAGGGUGCAGGCGUUAAUCGGAAUUACUGGGCGUAAAGCGUGCGCAGGCGGUCUUUUUAAGUCAGAUGUGAAAUCCCCGGGCUUAACCUGGGAACUGCGUUUGAAACUGGAAGGCUAGAGUGUGGCAGAGGGGGGGUGGAAUUCCACGUGUAGCAGUGAAAUGCGUAGAGAUGUGGAGGAACACCGAUGGCGAAAGCGGCUCACUGGACCACAACUGACGCUGAUGCACGGAAAGCUAG